ACUUAAAUAGUUUAAUUAAAAUAUUGAUUUGUGAUGUCAAUGAUAUAAAAAUUUUAUUUUAGGUA
rnacentral:tRNA from 1 species